rfam:Echinops telfairi cont1.797470, whole genome shotgun sequence.
CGCGGGUCCAAGGCCUGUAGCCCCAAAUCGGGAUAAUCUCUGCAGCUUGAUAACGAGCAAAAGGAGAAGCCAGGCAACAGCCCAUAUUAAAGAAGAAAAGCAAUCGACUCUGAGG